AACGAACGCUGGCGGCAUGCCUAACACAUGCAAGUCGAACGAGACCUUCGGGUCUAGUGGCGCACGGGUGCGUAACGCGUGGGAACCUGCCCUUAGGUUCGGAAUAACUCCCCGAAAGGGGUGCUAAUACCGGAUAAUGUCUUCGGACCAAAGAUUUAUCGCCUUUGGAUGGGCCCGCGUUGGAUUAGCUAGUUGGUAGGGUAAAAGCCUACCAAGGCGACGAUCCAUAGCUGGUCUGAGAGGAUGAUCAGCCACACUGGGACUGAGACACGGCCCAGACUCCUACGGGAGGCAGCAGUGGGGAAUAUUGGACAAUGGGCGAAAGCCUGAUCCAGCAAUGCCGCGUGAGUGAUGAAGGCUUUAGGGUUGUAAAGCUCUUUUACCCGGGAUGAUAAUGACGGUACCGGAAGAAUAAGCUCCGGCUAACUCCGUG
rnacentral:rRNA from 1 species